AGCAGCCGCGGUAAUUCCAGCUCCAAUAGCGUAUAUUAAAGUUGUUGCAGUUAAAAAGCUCGUAGUUGAAUUUCGGGGUUAGUAGGUUGGUCAUGCCUCUGGUAUGUACUGGUCUCACUGAUUCCUCCUUCCUGAUGAACCUUAAUGCCAUUAAUUUGGUGUUUUGGGGAAUUUGGACUGUUACUUUGAAAAAAUUAGAGUGUUUAAAGCAAGCUAACGCUUGAAUACAUUAGCAUGGAAUAAUGAAAUAGGACGUUCGAUCCUAUUUUGUUGGUUUCUAGGAUUGACGUAAUGAUUAAUAGGGAUAGUUGGGGGCAUUAGUAUUCAAUUGUCAGAGGUGAAAUUCUUGGAUUUAUUGAAGACUAACUACUGCGAAAGCAUUUGCCAAGGAUGUUUUCAUUAAUCAAGAACGAAAGUUAGGGGAUCGAAGACGAUCAGAUACCGUCGUAGUCUUAACCAUAAACUAUGCCGACUAGGGAUCGGAUGAUGUUAAUUUUUAAUGUACCCAGUUCGGCGUCCU
rnacentral:rRNA from 1 species